UACGUAGGGUGCAAGCGUUAAUCGGAAUUACUGGGCGUAAAGCGUGCGCAGGCGGUUAUGUAAGACAGUUGUGAAAUCCCCGGGCUUAACCUGGGAACUGCAUUUGUGACUGCAUCGCUGGAGUGCGGCAGAGGGGGAUGGAAUUCCGCGUGUAGCAGUGAAAUGCGUAGAUAUGCGGAGGAACACCGAUGGCGAAGGCAAUCCCCUGGGCCUGCACUGACGCUCAUGCACGAAAGCGUGGGGAGCAAACAGG
rnacentral:rRNA from 1 species